UCCCGAAUAGCUCAGUCGGUAGAGCAGUUGACUGUUAAUCAAUUGGUCGCAGGUUCGAGUCCUGCUUCGGGAG
rnacentral:tRNA from 1 species